rnacentral:rRNA from 1 species
AUUGAACGCUGGCGGCAGGCCUAACACAUGCAAGUCGAGCGGAUGAAGGGAGCUUGCUCCUGGAUUCAGCGGCGGACGGGUGAGUAAUGCCUAGGAAUCUGCCUGGUAGUGGGGGAUAACGUCCGGAAACGGGCGCUAAUACCGCAUACGUCCUGAGGGAGAAAGUGGGGGAUCUUCGGACCUCACGCUAUCAGAUGAGCCUAGGUCGGAUUAGCUAGUUGGUGGGGUAAAGGCCUACCAAGGCGACGAUCCGUAACUGGUCUGAGAGGAUGAUCAGUCACACUGGAACUGAGACGCGGUCCAGACUCCUACGGGAUGCAGCAGUUGGGAAUAUUCUACAAUAGUCGAAAGCCUGAUCCAGCCAUGCCGCGUGUGUGAAGAAGGUCUUCGGAUUGUAAAGCACUUUAAGUUGGGAGGAAGGGCAGUAAGUUAAUACCUUGCUGUUUUGACGUUACCAACAGAAUAAGCACCGGCUAACUUCGUG